CUACGUGCCAGCAGCCGCGGUAAUACGUAGGGUGCGAGCGUUAAUCGGAAUUACUGGGCGUAAAGCGAGCGCAGACGGUUACUUAAGCAGGAUGUGAAAUCCCCGGGCUCAACCUGGGAACUGCGUUCUGAACUGGGUGACUAGAGUGUGUCAGAGGGAGGUAGAAUUCCACGUGUAGCAGUGAAAUGCGUAGAGAUGUGGAGGAAUACCGAUGGCGAAGGCAGCCUCCUGGGAUAACACUGACGUUCAUGCUCGAAAGCGUGGGUAGCAAACAGGAUUAGAUACCCUGGUAGUCCACGCCCUAAACGAUGUCAAUUAGCUGUUGGGCAACUUGAUUGCUUAGUAGCGAAGCUAACGCGUGAAAUCGACCGCCUGGGGGGUACGGUCGCAAGAUUAAAACUCAAAGGAAUUGACGGGGACCCGCACAAGCGGUGGAUGAUGUGGAUUAAUUCGAUGCAACGCGAAGAACCUUACCUGGUCUUGACAU
rnacentral:rRNA from 1 species